AACGAACGCUGGCGGCAUGCCUAACACAUGCAAGUCGAACGAGACCUUCGGGUCUAGUGUCGCACGGGUGCGUAACGCGUGUGAACCUGCCCUUAUGUUCGGAAUAACUCCCCGAAAGGGGUUCUAAUACCGCCUAAUGUCUUCGGACCAAAGAUUUAUCGCCUUUGGAUGGGCCCGCGUUGGAUUUGAUUGUUGGUAGGGUAACAGCCUACCAAGGCGACGAUCCAUAGAUGGUCAGAGAGGAUGAUCAGACACACUGGGACUGAGACACGGCCCAGAAUCCUACGGGAGGCAGCAGUGGGGAAUAUUGGAAAAUGGGGGAAAGCAUGAUCCAGCAAGGCAGGGUGAGUGAUGAAGGCCUUAGGGUUGUAAAGCUCUUUUAACCGGGAUGAUAAUGACAGUACUGGGAGAAUAAGCCCCGGCUAACUACGUG
rnacentral:rRNA from 1 species